rnacentral:rRNA from 1 species
GACGAACGCUGGCGGCGUGCCUAAUACAUGCAAGUAGAACGCUGAAGAGAGGAGCUUGCUCUUCUUGGAUGAGUUGCGAACGGGUGAGUAACGCGUAGGUAACCUGCCUUGUAGCGGGGGAUAACUAUUGGAAACGAUAGCUAAUACCGCAUAACAAUGGGUGACACAUGUCAUUUAUUUGAAAGGGGCAAUUGCUCCACUACAAGAUGGACCUGCGUUGUAUUAGCUAGUAGGUGAGGUAACGGCUCACCUAGGCGACGAUACAUAGCCGACCUGAGAGGGUGAUCGGCCACACUGGGACUGAGACACGGCCCAGACUCCUACGGGAGGCAGCAGUAGGGAAUCUUCGGCAAUGGGGGCAACCCUGACCGAGCAACGCCGCGUGAGUGAAGAAGGUUUUCGGAUCUAAAGCUCUGUUGUAAGUCAAGAACGAGUGUGAGAGUGGAAAGUUCACACUGUGACGGUAGCUUACCAGAAAGGGACGGCUAA